AUCCUUUUGUGGGUCAUACACAUGAUGAUUGGGUGUUCACGCACAAGUAUGAGAUGUGCCACUUUUUUUUUUUUUUUUUUGAGACGGAGUCUUGCUCUGUCG